UCUGUGAGGCGUGCGGCGACCAGGAAGUCGGCGUGCUGGGAGGGGAGCGGGGGCAGAAUAAAAGCUACACUAAGAGGCGGGGAAACGAGGUGGGGGAAAGCCCCGUCUCGGAGGUAGACUACAAGUCCCAGAGUGCCUCGCGCUGGGGGCUGUCCUAGCACUGCUCCUGGCAUUUUUAAGGCUCUUCUGUUGGCUCUGCGGGAGCUGCCGCUCCACCUCCAUCCAGCUUGAGAGCGGUUUCUUCAAUUGCGGCUAAAGGCAGUGCUCUGUCUCCGCGUGGUGUCCGAGCCCUCAGGGGCUUUCUGGCCCCACAGUAUUAACCAAAACGGCCGGCCUCUUGUAAUCAACCGCUACCCCGCGCGACGGGUGAAGAGGAUAGAGUGGACCUUGGACCCGCACUGAGCUGCAAGCUGCGCUCGCCGGGGCCUCCCUCCGAUUUUUCCAACUGCCAGCCGCGUCCUUUGGGCGCGUUUUUCCUCAAAUAGGGAUCGAACCUGAGUCUCCUGUAUUGGCAGGCGGAUUCUUUACCACUGAGCCACCAGAGAAGCCCCAGGGAAAAUUGCUUUACAAGUUUCGAAGAUCUCUCCAUCCGUUCACUCAUCGGAUAAGGCGAUAAGAAGAGCAGGGGGUUUCUAGAACCAUGUUGUUAACGAUUGACACCAGGCUGAGGAGUUUGGGCUUUGUCUACUAGUCCAUAAAGAGCUUUUCAAGGGAUUUAUUCUCUUAACUGGACCUGGGUACAGUACUGUAUUUAUCAUAAUGCAGUUCAUCAUGGAUCCAUGCCUAGCCCACUUUAUUUAUCUCCUAUUGUUGCUCUAACAGUCUUAAUGGCUUAAAACGACAGGAAUGUAUUAUCUUAGAGUUCUGAACUGAGUUUCACUGAACUAUAACCAAGGUGUUGGCAGGACUCUUAAAAAAAAAAAAAAUGAAUGGUUGCAAGAGAUGAGGAUUAAUAGGUGGAGCACAGGUCAUUUUUACCCAGUGGUGAAAUUAUUCUGUGUGGUAUUGUAAUGGUGGAUCCCAUAGAAUGUACAACACAGAGUGAAUGCUAAUGUAUGCUAUGAACUGUUAGUGGGUAAUCAUAUGUCAACAUUGGCCCAUUGUUUGCAACAAAUGUACCACAUAAAUGCAAGAUAGUAGCAAUAGGGGAAACUGUGUGGUAGAGAGAGGAUGUAUCGGAACUUUGUACUUUCUGCACCAUUUUUCUGUAACCUUAAAACUAUAAAGUUCAUUACAAAGUGGGAGGGGGGAAAUUGUGUCUUUGUAUCUUUUUGAACUUUUUUCAUACAUUGUAACAUUCAUACAUUUCUUACACUGUAAGAUUCAGCCAUACUUUAUGUAUUUAGUUCAUUCAUUUUCACUCUUGUAUAAGAUUCCAGCUGGUGAACAUACCAGAUUUUGUCUGAUUUCUCUUGAAUGGACAUUUGAGUUGCUUCUAGGUUUUUGCUACUGUGAGCAAUGCUGCUAUGAACAUUAUUGUACUCUUCUGUUACAGAUUUACAAGAA